rnacentral:rRNA from 1 species
UACAGAGGGUGCGAGCGUUAAUCGGAAUUACUGGGCGUAAAGCGUGCGUAGACGGUUAUGUAAGGCGGGUGUGAAAGCCCCGGGCUCAACCUGGGAAUUGCAUUCGAGACUGUGUAGCUAGGGUGCGGAAGAGGGAAGCGGAAUUUCCGGUGUAGCGGUGAAAUGCGUAGAUAUCGGAAGGAACACCAGUGGCGAAAGCGGCUUCCUGGUCCAGCACCGACGUUCAGGCACGAAAGCGUGGGGAGCAAACAGG